rnacentral:lncRNA from 1 species
GCUAGAAUUUAGCACAUAUGCAACUUCAAUCAUGAUUCAUGAGCAUAUAUUCAAACAUCAUAUUACAAACUUUGUACAUUACAUAGAUGCCUACCUCUGUUUACCCAUGUAGGUCUAGUUUUGAUCUAGGUGGAUCCAGUCCAUAUCCAUAUAGAUCUAGGCUAGAUUUUUGUGGGUUCUUGCUUGUUCUAAUUCAGAACAAAAAACUAAGGUUUUUUAUUCAAGCAUAAUUGAAAUUCUAAAUGGAAAAAAAAACAAAAGUCUUAUCUUAAAUGUUGAUUGUUCAGAGUGAAAGAGAGUUCUUCUCGAUAAGAAGGAUAGAGUCCCUCCAAAAUGUCAAAUUGGAUAGAGUGUGAAAUAGAGAAGAAGAAAGGUCAACAAAAGAAAGAGUCGAGUAAAAGGUAUUCUUAAGCAGCGUUCGCUGAGAACUUUGACCAAUUGACUUGCACUUGAGGUGGGAUGGGCCAAAUUUGGGAUGGUAUCCUUGCCACUCGGUUCAAAUAGUGGGUGGGAAGCUUGUUAUUUGAUAAAUCUCACCAACCAUUUAUACGGUUCGCUUACUAGUUCAAGCUUGGACCGGGUAGAUACCACUUGAUAUGUACUUCUCUAAGUAAUAUUUUUAACCAUGCUUUAUCCUAAAUCUAUUGAUAAUUUGUUUUCCAUAUUAUUUGUGUGUCAUCCUUGAUGCUUACUAUGUCUAUGUAUUUCAUUGCUUUGUCCCAUCCUUAAUGCUACGAAACAAGUGGUUGAGUUGUAUGUUCAACAUAUGGUUAAAUUACAUUUGAUGUGAUCCAUCGUUUGCAAUAGAGGCAAUGCCCUUGCAUCAUCCUUUGGUACGAGUUUCCUUUGCAGGGUACUUAAAUUCAUACAAGUACUACCUAUCACCCAUAAACACCUGGCUGGUCUAUGGUGCUAAAUAGAGGCAAACUAUCUAUGAGUUCUAUGGACUUUUAAGGUGCUAUUAGCUUUAGAAUAAUAACAAACACAUUAGAGUUGUUCUUAGGUGGCAAGAUCAUGAUGCAUGUGUCCAAGUUGAAGCUCUAUGUAGAACAAGCUGAUGCUAUACCUAUAAUAAAAUGAGUUGAUUAAAGGUAAGCCUCAUGCACUUGUGGAGAUCCUACAAAGCUGUUGCCAUCAUAUUGAUGAAUCAGAGUUCUAGUUAGUUGUUCUGAUGGCAUUUAAAAGAUGCAAGUUGGGAAAUAAAAGAUGACUUCAUUCAGCGCAUCCUCAAUACUUGAUGCACCGUUUGUACUCAUGACUUUGGAAAUAUGCUGCGUCGGAGAUGGGGAAUCAUUUGAAGCUCUCCCUUGGCAUUGAACAUAAUUAUUAUCACCAAUAAGAAGAGAGAAGUGCCUCAAGGGUAGUGGCUAGGUCCAAAGCAUGGUUGGCCUUGCUAGAAGUAUAGGCAACUCAACAAUAUGAGUAGGCAUAAUAUCACGAGUUGGUUCUGUUUGGAUGGCAUGAUGGUGCCAAUUUUGUGAUAUAUCCUUCAUGACACCUUCGUUGUCUUUGUUGACACUUGGUACAGUCUGUGCAAGAGUCUGUUCACCUUUGGUGAAGAUUUCAUAAACCAAUCAAAGCUAUUCCUGCUUAGCUUGGGAAACAUGCAAGGUGCAGGCCCAAGUUAUUUAGGGCACCACAGCUAGAGUUCUUCUCAUGUAACAGUCCCAAACUAAAGUGAAUACAGCCAAGAAAACUUGUAAUUAGUGACAGGUGGAAAUGCAUAGAGCCUAUACUAGGGUUUUGUGGAUAGGUAUGGGCCUAUACUAGGGUUUUGUACAUACAGACUAUACUUCAUGACACCUAAGAGGAUAUUACUGUUCUCAAAGAUUGCGUGAAGGCAACCUAUUUAAUCAGUGAUCAGCCUUGUCUUGACCCAGAGGAUUUGUGGAUAGAUAUGGGCCACUUUGAAGAGGAUAUCGAUGUAAUUUGACUUCUAGAUGAAGUAGGAAAGGAUUCCUUUCUAACUCUGACAGCAUAUAUGUCUCCUACCUGCAUUAGAAGUGAAAUUGAUCACAAUAACCCACACAGGUAUGGACUCGAGGAGACUAUAAAUAGAACAAUUGCACUAUAAACUGCGACCUGGUAAGAAACCUCAAGAAGUAGCAGGACAGUAGGAUAGAAGUUACCAUGCCGUAGUGUUUUUGUAUUAGUGACUCAACUAAACAUAUAUCAUUAUCUAAUUGAGAAUUGAACCAAACUUUAAUUGAGUUUGCAAUAUUAGGUUAUCACUGGUAUUCUAUAAAUACACUGGAUUGCAAACCCUAGGGAUUAUCUUGAUUAUUUUUAUAUUUAAACAAACAGCACACAAAAGGUUGCUAUGGAUUUAUUUCAUUUUCAUUCAACUUAUAUAUAUUUUGAGAUGGCUGUACAAUCGGCACGCUAAAUCAAACAACAUUAUAACUUAUUUUAAUAUUAGGUUAUAGCAUUAGUACUCUUCGUUUACAAGGGAUUGCGAGUCCUGGGAUCUUUUUGAUUAGUAUAAAAUUUUCAAACAAAUUGCACACAGAAGGUUGCUAUUGAGUUAUUUAUUUACAUACAAAUGAUAUAUUUACUUUAUGAUGGCUAUACCUUUACGUGCUAAAUCAAACACCAUUACAUCUUUAUUUAUUUGUUCAUAACAUAAUUGGAGCUUAGUGGUUAUGAAUGACUCCUCUC